rnacentral:rRNA from 1 species
AUUGAACGCUGGCGGCAGGCCUAACACAUGCAAGUCGAGCGGUAGCACAGAGAGCUUGCUCUCGGGUGACGAGCGGCGGACGGGUGAGUAAUGUCUGGGAAACUGCCUGAUGGAGGGGGAUAACUACUGGAAACGGUAGCUAAUACCGCAUAACGUCGCAAGACCAAAGAGGGGGACCUUCGGGCCUCUUGCCAUCAGAUGUGCCCAGAUGGGAUUAGCUAGUAGGUGGGGUAACGGCUCACCUAGGCGACGAUCCCUAGCUGGUCUGAGAGGAUGACCAGCCACACUGGAACUGAGACACGGUCCAGACUCCUACGGGAGGCAGCAGUGGGGAAUAUUGCACAAUGGGCGCAAGCCUGAUGCAGCCAUGCCGCGUGUAUGAGGAAGGCCUUCGGGUUGUAAAGUACUUUCAGCGAGGAGGAAGGUGUUGAGG